GAUGAACGCUGGCGGCGUGCCUAAUACAUGCAAGUCGAGCGAACAGACGAGGAGCUUGCUCCUCUGACGUUAGCGGCGGACGGGUGAGUAACACGUGGAUAACCUACCUAUAAGACUGGGAUAACUUCGGGAAACCGGAGCUAAUACCGGAUAACAUGUUGAACCGCAUGGUUCAACAGUGAAAGACGGUCUUGCUGUCACGUAUAGAUGGAUCCGCGCCGCAUUAGCUAGUUGGUAAGGUAACGGCUUACCAAGGCAACGAUGCGUAGCCGAGGUGAGAGGGUGGUCGGCCACACGGGAACUGAGACACGGUCCAGACUCCUACGGUAGGCAGCAGUAGGGAAUCUUCCGCAAUGGGCGAAAGCCUGACGGAGCAACGCCGCGUGAGUGAAGAAGGUCUUCGGAUCGUAAAACUCUGUUAUUAGGGAAGAACAAAUGUGUAAGUAACUAUGCACGUCUUGACGGUACCUAAUCAGAAAGCCACGGCUAACUACGUG
rnacentral:rRNA from 1 species